GACCUGGACUUAUAAAGUGAAUAUGUGUAUCUAUUCCACCAGCAGUUAUGAUUUUUCCCUCAGCUGAAAGAAUUUCAGUAUUUGCUCCAAUUUCUAAACCUUCUGUUAUUCCAUCACAAAGAUUUGGAUUUCCUGAUUUUCCAAUAGCUAAGAUUUUUCCAUCUUUGAUUCCAAUAUCAGCUUUAUAAAUCCCCGUAUAAUCUAUAAUAAUCGCAUUUGUAAUAAUCAAAUCAGCAACAUCAACAGCCGUUGGACUUUGAGCCAUACCAUC
rnacentral:sRNA from 1 species